rnacentral:rRNA from 1 species
UACGGAGGGUGCAAGCGUUAUCCGGAUUCACUGGGUGUAAAGGGUGCGUAGGUGGGCAGGUAAGUCAGUGGUGAAAUCUCCGAGCUUAACUCGGAAACUGCCGUUGAUACGAUUUGUCUUGAAUAUUGUGGAGGUAAGCGGAAUAUGUCAUGUAGCGGUGAAAUGCUUAGAUAUGACAUAGAACACCAAUUGCGAAGGCAGCUUACUGCACAACGAUUGACGCUGAGGCACGAAAGCGUGGGGAUCAAACAGG